UUUUGCAUAAUAAGUUUGAUUAUGCUAAUGUCUUUUUAAUUUCGUAUAGGUAUCAAGUGUUCCACAGACAGAUAAUCAAUCAAAUGAGGCACUUUCUUUCAUAACAGGUCAUUUCUUAUGAAUGCGUAAAUUUUUUGUGGAAUAAAUUCUAUUCAAUCUAAGUUGACAAGCCUUGAACAAAGACAGGGAAGGUUGGAAGAACGCCUUUGUAAUGAUCAUGUUGAUCAGAAUAUCAGCCAAAUCCAGUUCCCAAUUUUUAGUUCUGUACUGCAAUAUUCUGAAGUUGAAAAGCACUCAAACAGUAUGCUGUCAUGGAUGAUGCUUGAAGAAGGGUUGACUGCCUAUGACCAUAUUUUAAGAGUGCUUAUUAAGUUGCUGACACAUGAUAUGCAAAAAAAUGAUCAAAAGGCACGGAAAACAUGGCAAACUUAAGUUUUUCGAUCAAUAGAAAAUCUGCUUAAAAGUGAGUGAA
rnacentral:lncRNA from 1 species